AUUAGGCUCCUAUAAUCUUAAUUAAAUCUGAUUAAAUCAAUAAAUUAAUUGAGUCAUAGAUCCGAUCAAAUUAGGAUCAUUUCUCUCUUACCGAUUAGAUCAUCUCAUAACCUAAUCAGAUCUGACCACAUUGAAUCUAAUUCAAUCAGACUUGAUCCAGACUUUAAUACUUAAUCAGAUUGAGCUAAUUAGUGAUCUAAUCACUAAUUAAUCUUUAAUUAAUGAUAGAGUUCAAGUCCAGUGAGACUCUUUAUCAAAGUCCCCGUCCAGUGGGACUCUAGU
rnacentral:lncRNA from 1 species